rnacentral:rRNA from 1 species
GAUGAACGCUGGCGGCGUGCCUAAUACAUGCGAGUCGAGCGAACAGACGAGGAGCUUGCUCCUCUGACGUUAGCGGCGGACGGGUGAGUAACACGUGGAUAACCUACCUAUAAGACUGGGAUAACUUCGGGAAACCGGAGCUAAUACCGGAUAAUAUAUUGAACCGCAUGGUUCAAUAGUGAAAGACGGUUUUGCUGUCACUUAUAGAUGGAUCCGCGCCGCAUUAGCUAGUUGGUAAGGUAACGGCUUGCCAAGGCGACGAUGCGUAGCCGACCUGAGAGGGUGAUCGGCCACACUGGAACUGAGACACGGUCCAGACUCCUACGGGAGGCAGCAGUAGGGAAUCUUCCGCAAUGGGCGAAAGCCUGACGGAGCAACGCCGCGUGAGUGAUGAAGGUCUUCGGAUCGUAAAACUCUGUUAUUAGGGAAGAACAAAUGUGUAAGUAACUAUGCACGUCUUGACGGUACCUAAUCAGAAAGCCACGGCUAACUACGUG